rnacentral:rRNA from 1 species
GACGAACCGUGCGAACGUUGUUCGGAAUCACUGGGCUUAAAGGGCGCGUAGGCGGGCCGGUAAGUCCGGGGUGAAAUCCUGCAGCUCAACUGCAGAAGUGCCUCGGAUACUGCCGGCCUCGAGGGAGGUAGGGGCAUGUGGAACUUCCGGUGGAGCGGUGAAAUGCGUAGAUAUCUGGAGGAACACCGGUGGCGAAGGCGGCAUCCUGGACCGGCAUUGACGCUGAGGCGCGAAAGCCAGGGGAGCAAAGCGGG